GAAGUGGAAGGAAGGCGCAGACUUUGAGAGGGAAAUGAUGAUCCUGAUACCAACUAUCAAUUUCUAAAGAUCAUCAUUUCCCUCUCAAAGUCCGCGCCUUCCUCUCACUUC